UAGGUAGAAGCUCGCUGGUUCGAGCACCUAGCUGUUAACUAGGGUGUUAUGGGAUCGAGGCCCAUCUACCUAG
rnacentral:tRNA from 1 species